GAGAUACAGUUCUGGGCCUAGUGUUUGAGAGAUACAGUUCUGGGCCUAGUGUUUGAGAGACACAGUUCUGGGUCUAGUGUUUGAGAGACACAGUUCUGGGCCUAGUGCUCACAUCAAUCAAUAAGUCACCAUGUGUGUCUGAUAAAUUAACAGCUUUAAUGGCAGAGGCUUUGCAGUGAGUGAUGCAUUCUAGUCAAGUGAUGUGUGUGUAUGAUUGUGUGCAUGAAUGUGUGUGUAGGGGGUUGUAUCGCAGGCAGGCACACACACACACACACACACACACACACAAACUUAAUCAAACAACGUUUAGAGCAAUCCCUCAGACUGUAACUGUAAGGUUCCAGUCUGAAACCCCCAGAGAAAUCAAAUAUUAAUUUAGACGAGAGCCACUGCUCAAUAUCGACUCUCCAAUCGAUGUGUGCGUGUGUGCAUGCAAGGAGAGAAAAAGAGAUGCAGGACAAACAAGAGAUUGAGUGAAGAGAAAAAGAGUCAGAGAGGAAGAAAGAGAGAAAAAGAUGAGUCCCUAGGACUCCAGCCUCAAUCACAGAAGUUUGAUCAAAGUUCUCUGUUUCAGUAUACAUUUCUGAACAGCAGGCCCGAUUCAAACAGCUCAACUGCAUGCACAGUAGGGGGGAAGACAAUCAGUGUAGCGCUCCCUUUUCAUCGAGAAAUGAUGAGAAUACAAGCUAUAGCGGCCUUCAUUCUCCUCCAGUCACAAAGCAACUGGUCUGUGAUUGCCCUGGACCCCUCGUUAGGCACCAAGAGCCUGUCCAAUCAACUCCAUCAUUCCACUACAGUGCAUGUGUGUGGGUGUUUUGUGUGUGUGAUGUCUGAAGACAGACACAAAUUGGCAAUCAGGUAACGCUAUCAUGGAUUGGACUUUCCUCAGAGGGAUCCUGACUCCAAUACCUUCUUCCUUUCCUCUCCUCCAUCUCCUCGUCGCUCCGGAGCGGCUCCAGCUCGACCCUGACAGGUUCUCCUGACAACUUAUUACCAUACAAUUACACGAGCUCUCUCUCUCUCUCUCUCUCUCUCUCUCUCUCUCAAUCACUAAAGUUUCUCACUUGUCUUAACCCUCAAUCCCUGUCUCUCCCUCUCUCUUUCUCACCCCUCCUCUUUUAUCACUAUCUCUAUCCACUUCUAUCAAUCUUUAUUGGUUCCCAUCUCCUAGGCCCAAAUAGAGCAUUAGAGUACAUGGCUCACUUUAAUCUGCAUUAGGGAAGAGAUGAGAGGGCAAUGAGGAGAGGAGGAGAGAGGAGAAGGUGAGGAGGAGAGAGGAGAAGGUGAGGAGGAGAGAGGAGAAGGUGAGGAGGAGAGAGGAGAAGGUGAUGAGGAGAGGAGGAGAAGGUGAUGAGGAGAGGAGGAGAGAGGAGAAGGUGAUGAGGAGAGGAGGAGAGAGGAGAAGGUGAUGAGGAGAGGAGGAGAGAGGAGAAGUUGAUGAGGAGAGAGGAGAAGGUGAUGAGAGGAGGAGAAGGUGAUGAGAGGAGGAGAAGGUGACGAGAGGAGGAGAGAGGAGAAGGUGAGGAGGAGAGAGGAGAAGGUGAUGAGGAGAGGAGGAGAAGAUGAUGAGGAGAGGAGGAGAAGAUGAGGAGGAGAGAAGGUGAUGAGGAGAGGAGGAGAAGGUGAUGAGGAGAGGAGGAGAGAGGAGAAGGUGAUGAGGAGAGGAGGAGAGAGGAGAAGGUGAUGAGGAGAGAGGAGAAGGUGAUGAGAGGAGGAGAAGGUGAUGAGAGGAGAAGGUGAUGAGAGGAGGAGAGAGGAGAAGGUGAGGAGGAGAGAGGAGAAGGUGAUGAGGAGAGGAGAAGAUGAUGAGGAGAGGAGGAGAAGGUGAUGAGGAGAGGAGGAGAGAGGAGAAGGUGAUGAGGAGAGAGGAGAAGGUGAUGAAAGGAGGAGAGAAGAGAAGGUGAUGAGGAGAAGGUGAUGAGGAGAGGAGAAGGUGAUGAGGAGAGAGGUGAAGGAGAGGAGGAGAGAGGACAGGGUGAUGAGGAGAGAGGAGAAGGUGAUGAGGAGAGAGGAGAAGGUGAUGAGAGGAGGAGAGAGGAGAAGGUGAUGAGGAGAAGGUGAUGAGGAGAGGAGGAGAGAGGAGAAGGUGAUGAGGAGAGGAGGAGGGAGAAGGUGAUGAGGAGAGGACGAGAGAGGAGAAGGUGAUGAGGAGAGGAUGAGAGAGAGGAGAAGGUGAGGUGAUGAGGAGAGGAGAUUGUGAUGAGGAGAGGAGAAGGUGAUAAGGAGAAGAGAAGGUGAUGAGGAGGGGAGGAGAGAGGAGAAGGUGAUGAGGAGAGGAGGAGAGAGGAGAAGGUGAUGAGGAGAGGAGCAGAGAGGAGAAGGUGAUGAGUUGGAGAAGGCGAUGAGGAGAGGAGGAGAGGAGAAGGCGAUGAUGAGAGAAGGAGAGAGGAGAAGGUGAUGAGGAGAGGACGAGAGAGGAGAAGGUGAGGUGAUGAGGAGAGGAGAAGGUGACGAGGAGAGGAGAAGGUGAUGAGGAGAGGAGGAGAAGGUGAUGAGGAGAGGACGAGAGAGGAGAAGAUGAUGAGGAGAGGACGAGAGGAGAAGGUGAUGAGGAGAGGACGAGAGAGGAGAAGGUGAUGAGGAGAGGACGAUAGAGGAGAGGAGGAGAGAGGAGAAGGUGAUGAGGAGAGAGGAGAAGGUGAUGAGGAGAGGAGCAGAGAGGAUAAUGUGAUGAGGAGGAGAAGGUGAUGAGGAGAGGAGGAGAGGAGAAGGCAAUGAUGAGAGGAGGAGAGAGGAGAAGGUGAUGAGGAGAGGAGGAGAGAGGAGAAGGUGAUGAGGAGAGGACGAGAGAGGAGAAGGUGAUGAGGAGAGGAGGAGAGAGGAGAAGGUGAUGAGGAGAGGACGAGAGAGGAGAAGGCGAUGAGGAGAGGACAAGAGAGGAGAAGGUGAGGUGAUGAGGAGAGGAGAAGGUGAUGAGGAGAGGAUGAGAGAGGAGAAGGUGAUGAGGAGAGGACGAGAGAGGAGAAGGUGAGGUGAUGAGGAGAGGAGAAGGUGAUGAUGAGAGGAGGAGAGAGGAGAAGGUGAUGAGGAGAGGAGGAGAGAGGAGAAGGCGAUGAGGAGAGGAGGAGAGAGGAGAAGGUGAUGAGGAGAGGAGGAGAGAGGAGAAGGUGAUGAGGAGAGGAGGAGAGAGGAGAAGGUGAUGAGGAGAGGAGGAGAGAGGAUAAGGUGAUGAGGAGAGGAGGAGAGAGGAGAAGGUGAUGAGGAGAGGAGGAGAGAGGAGAAGGUGAUGAGGAGAGGAGGAGAGAGGAUAAGGUGAUGAGGAGAGGAGGAGAGAGGAGAAGGUGAUGAGGAGAGGAGGAGAGAGGAGAAGGUGAUGAGGAGAGGAGGAGAGAGGAGAAGGUGAUGAGGAGAGGAGGAGAGAGGAGAAGGUGAUGAGGAGAGGAGGAGAGAGGAGAAGGUGAUGAGGAGAGGAGAAGGUGAUGAGGAGAGGAGGAGAGAGGAGAAGGUGAUGAGGAGAGGAGGAGAGAGAGAAGGUGAUGAGGAGAG
ensembl:lncRNA